rnacentral:rRNA from 1 species
UACGUAGGUGGCAAGCGUUAUCCGGAAUUAUUGGGCGUAAAGAGUGCGCAGGUGGUUGAUUAAGUCUGAUGUGAAAGCCCACGGCUUAACCGUGGAGGGUCAUUGGAAACUGGUCGACUUGAGUGCAGAAGAGGGAAGUGGAAUUCCAUGUGUAGCGGUGAAAUGCGUAGAGAUAUGGAGGAACACCAGUGGCGAAGGCGGCUUCCUGGUCUGUAACUGACACUGAGGCGCGAAAGCGUGGGUAGCGAACAGGAUUAGAUA